UCAAUGGAGUUAUGUAGGGACGGCGAAUCUAGCGGUAAAACAAGAACGUUGAAGACGGAAUCAUUGUAAUAGCUACAAGAACUUAUAGCUACCAACGAUCUCUGAUGAUACAUCUACAUAGCCAUGGAGACUUCGCUCGGCGCUAGCUAAUGUGCCCCUCCUACCGCCACCGCAGCCUCAAGUGACAGCGCCCCUGUUAGCAGCGUCAACUCGUGAGCAGUUUCAUCCCGCGACCUUCGACAGUUGGUACGACGACGACGGCAGCAGCAGCAGCGUGGGUGGACUGACAUCGAAUUCUGGAAAUCUGGUUCGUCAGUACAACAUCACGGCAGCGCGCGCAGCAUGCUUCACGCGAUUGUCGGAGCGUGACGCGACAUACACGCGAUGUUCUCCUCGCACAAGCACAAGAAGCCCGGCUCGUGAGUGACGC